ACCUAUACACGUACUACAAGGGACGAUUUCUUCUUCCUCCCCUCCGUGAUCUCUUCAUCUUCUCCAUCACUAUCUCUUUCUCCCCGGUUGGAAGAUACAACCAUCCAGAUCUCUUCCUCUUGAUUAUCUCCCUCCUCCCCAUUGGAAAACAAAUGGAUCUCCUCUCUCAAAAAGAAGGCAUGGAUUUCAUGCUCACGGAUCUUUUUGCAUCAAAAUAGUUUUCCUCAUCUGUACCAGAUCCGUAUUUUCACAUGGAAUUUGUUUUCUUGCAGGUUCGACUGUUGGUUUUUCUUUGGAUUUUGAUUCAUGUUUUUAUCUAUCGUGUCUUCUCAACUUUUUGUGCUCUCCACGGAUUGGAUCUUGAAUCUUCUCAUGUACAGUUUUUUGGUGUCUCAUGGAGAUCUGGUCUACAAUUGGAUCAACCAUGGCUUUUUAAUUGGAGUCCGAUUCAACUUUUUCUCUACCGUGUCCUCUCAUUGUUUUGUGCUCUCCACAGAUUGGAUCCUUUGUCUUCUCACCUAUAAUUCUGGGAUGACUCAUGGAGAUCAGGUAGGAGCACACCAACUUUACCCAUCUGCUCGAUGACUCAUGGAGAUCAGGUAGGAGCACACCAACUAUCCCCAUCUUCUCAAGAUUCUCCCACUUUGUGCAAAGCUUGCCUCUGAUCUGUUGCUGUCAUUGUUCUGUUUGUUAGAUCCUACAUGUUGCUUACAUAGUGCAGAUUCACCGACUAAUCAUAGGGUCUACUCUCUUUUUUCUAAUUAAAGCCUUGGAUUUGCCAGCAGCUUUGCUUGAGACUAAACAAGUACAAAUCCUAAGAAUUUUUAUGAUCUUUUACCUGUUAAUCUUUUCUAUUCCUUUAAUUUUUUAUAUUCGAGUUAUACUUUCUUUCGUUUUUGUAGUAUAAGGUUUAAAAUAAUACAGCUAACCUCAAUGGAGAAGGAUUCCCAUGCAAAGUGAAGGCCAGAGUAGCUACACCAAUGAGUAGUUACGCCAACGAGAAAGAUUCCUAGAAAGGGAAGGCUGGAGUAAUUCGUCUAUGGAACGCCAUUAACGUCGACAGCAAUGAACUUAUUUGACUUGACAUGAUACUAGAUGAAGAGCUGGCCACCAUCGUGAUGGCGGAUUCAUCAUGCUACUGCUUCUUGGUUGGAACGUCGUGGCUGCACGGCCGGUCGACAUGCAACGCCAAUGCAAAGGCGUGUGCACUCACUACUUUAUUCCCAUGCUUCCAGUCGCAGGUGCAUUCAGCUCGCCAAGUUCUGGAUCUAGGGGUACAUGUGAUGGCUUGCUAGAGCAUCACGUACAUAUAAGGUUUCCAUGUUAGAGUAUGUUGUUUCCAGUUAUUUAUCUGGAAGGCGAUCAGUCGAUUGGUGAGGCCAUAAAUGGCUGUCUAUGGUUGUCUCCAGGUAACAAUUUUUUUCCCCGAGCUAGCAUCUUAGUUGGACACAGGUUAUUGUCUGCAACUACUCAUGUUUCAGGCAAUAGACUUUGCCUGCUAACAGAAAAUGUUCUAAUGUUAUGGACAUUGUUCACAUGGCUGGAGUUCUAAAGUUUAUAGCUAAGGACCUUAUCCAUGAAAGGAUUCUAACUAAAUUUUUUUGAGAGUUGAAGACCGAGUUGGAGCAGAACUAUGGCAACCAUGUCGUGCUAAAUACGGCCUAUGAGCUAUGCAUGUCGCCAAUACGUUACCUAAUACAUGGGAGGCUCAUGUUAGACUUGGCAAUGUUCUCUCGAUCUUUUUUCUAUCGGAUUUUUGUACUGCGAAAUUGAAUUGCUUCUAAGUAAGGAUUAGCCUUCACCUCAGUCCAUGCAUUUUAACUUUGUAAAUAUUUUAAGGUUAAACUUAUGAUGAAUGCAUGCCCCAGUUUAGAGUGGUGACGACUAUUGUAAACAUGUUUGGUUCAAGAUUUAUUUUUUGUU